GAGUUGGACAUAAAAAUUCUUCUCAAAUCUAAAAUAAUUGUGGUGUAACAGUUUGGGAUUUCUGUUACACCACAAUUAUUUUAGAUUUGAGAAGAAUUUUUAUGUCCAACUC